AUGGACGCUGCUGAACAUUUAACUUUGUGGAGCUGGCUGAGCUUUGAAAUCUGUUCACAGAUAAAUUCCUCCCUCUCAAUGAAAGGUAUGUCACAUUUCCAGUUACUACAAAUUAUAAUUCACAUUUUGCAUUUCCAGUAAUCUUUCACCAAUCAGACGUUUUCCUCAUUCCAGGUUACCUCGUUGUGCCAGUGCAUUCCUUUAAGUCUUCCAGGAAAGGAUCACAGGGUGUGGACCAGAGGCUCUCUGUGGAAGUAUAACUUCAUUUGUCUCUGAUUACUUUCAGUCUUUCUCUGAAAUCUUCACUCUGUCACCAUGUUGCCGUCUGUGUUGCUGCUGCUGCUGCUCAUCAGCGGAGCUCAAGCUGCUUAUUAUGGUGCGGUCAUUACCAACUACUUUGGAGACGUUCAGCCCUUCGUACUAACCUAUCACUUUAAGGAGAGCGGCAGCUCAUGCCAAGAGGUGGACAUUUGGCAUUGUGGUGGAAACUGUACCACUCCUCCAAUUUAUGCAGUUGAUGAAAGCAGGAAUGAAUGGUGUCAAAAAACAGAAGUUCGUAUUCACUACAGCUAUGGCCCAAGAACAUUUACAUACCAACAUUCAGUUGGUUCUUCAAACUGGAUAGAAAACAGAAAUGGGAUUGUAACACCGAUAUUAAGAAUAAGCAACGACUUCAGAAACCGUUCUGACAUCAACAAACCAAACUCAACACCUCAGAUCUCCAUCCUCCCUGU